rnacentral:rRNA from 1 species
UGAGGAAUAUUGGUCAAUGGACGAGAGUCUGAACCAGCCAAGUAGCGUGAAGGAUGAAGGUCCUAAGGAUUGUAAACUUCUUUUAUAAGGGAAUAAACCCUCCCACGUGUGGGAGCUUGUAUGUACCUUAUGAAUAAGCAUCGGCUAACUCCGUGCCAGCAGCCGCGGUAAUACGGAGGAUGCGAGCGUUAUCCGGAUUUAUUGGGUGUAAAGGGAGCGCAGACGGGUCGUUAAGUCGGCUGUGAAAGUUUGGGGAUCAACCUUAAAAUUGCAGUUGAUACUGGCGUCCUUGAGUGCGGUGGCGGUGUGCGGAAUUCGGGGUGUGUCGGUGAAGUGCUUAGAUAUCACGAAGAACUCCGAUUGCGAAGGCAGCACACUAAUCCGUAACUGACGUUCAUGAUAGAAAGUGUGGGUAUCAAACAGG